AGUCAAGUAAUUAAGUGCAUGUGGUGGAUGCCUUGGCAGUCAGAGGCGAUGAAAGACGUGAUAGCCUGCGAAAAGCUCCGGGGAGGCGGCAAAUAUCCUUUGAUCCGGAGAUGUCUGAAUGGGGGAACCCACCUACUUUAAGGUAGGUAUUGCAACAUGAAUACAUAGUGUUGCAAGGCGAACGAGGGGAAGUGAAACAUCUCAGUACCCUUAGGAAAAGAAAUCAAUUGAGAUUCCCUCAGUAGCGGCGAGCGAACGGGGAUCAGCCCAUUAAGUUAUGUGUGUUUUAGUGGAACGCUCUGGGAAGUGCGAACGUAGAGGGUGAUAUUCCCGUACACGAAAGGGCACACAUAAUGAUGACGAGUAGGGCGAGGCACGUGAAACCUUGUCUGAAUAUGGGGGGACCAUCCUCCAAGGCUAAAUACUCCUGACUGACCGAUAGUGAACCAGUACCGUGAGGGAAAGGCGAAAAGAACCCCUGUGAGGGGAGUGAAAUAGAUCCUGAAACCGCAUGCAUACAAGCAGUGGGAGCACCUUCGUGGUGUGACUGCGUACCUUUUGUAUAAUGGGUCAGCGACUUAUAUUCAGUAGCGAGGUUAACCGUAUAGGGGAGCCGUAGAGAAAUCGAGUCUUAAUAGGGCGUUUAGUUGCUGGGUAUAGACCCGAAACCAGGCGAUCUAUCCAUGAGCAGGUUGAAGGUUGGGUAACACUAACUGGAGGACCGAACCCACUGUCGUUGAAAAGCCAGGGGAUGACUUGUGGAUAGGGGUGAAAGGCUAAUCAAGCCUGGUGAUAGCUGGUUCUCCCCGAAAGCUAUUUAGGUAGCGCCUCGGACGAAUACCAUAGGGGGUAGAGCACUGUUUCGGCUAGGGGGUCAUCCCGACUUACCAAACCGAUGCAAACUCCGAAUACCUAUGAGUACUAUCCGGGAGACAGACUGCGGGUGCUAACGUCCGUAGUCAAGAGGAAAACAAUCCAGACCGCCAGCUAAGGCCCCAAAAUCAUAGUUAAGUGGGAAACGAUGUGGGAAGGCAUAGACAGCUAGGAGGUUGGCUUAGAAGCAGCCACCCUUUAAAGAAAGCGUAAUAGCUCACUAGUCGAGUCGGCCUGCGCGGAAGAUGUAACGGGGCUAAAACUAUGUGCCGAAGCUGCGGAUGUAUACUUUGUAUACGUGGUAGGGGAGCGUUCUGUAAGCCGAUGAAGGUGUGUUGAGAAGCAUGCUGGAGGUAUCAGAAGUGCGAAUGCUGACGUGAGUAACGACAAAACGGGUGAAAAACCCGUUCGCCGAAAGACCAAGGGUUCCAGUCCAACGUUAAUCGGGGCUGGGUGAGUCGACCCCUAAGGCGAGGCCGAAAGGCGUAGUCGAUGGGAAAAUGGUUAAUAUUCCAUUACUUCUGUGUAAUGCGAUGAGAGGACGGAGAAGGCUAAAUCAGCCUGGCGUUGGUUGUCCAGGUGAAAGGAUGUAGGCAUGUAUCUUAGGCAAAUCCGGGGUACUCUAUGCUGAGAUCUGAUAGCAAGCUGUACUUGUACAGCGAAGUGGUUGAUGCCAUGCUUCCAGGAAAAGUCUCUAAGCUUCAGUUACACAGGAAUCGUACCCGAAACCGACACAGGUGGUCAGGUCGAGUAGACCAAGGCGCUUGAGAGAACUCUGCUGAAGGAACUAGGCAAAAUGGUACCGUAACUUCGGGAGAAGGUACGCUGUUGUUGGUGAUGGAACUCGCUUCCUGAGCUGACGACAGCCGCAGAAACCAGGCCGCUGCAACUGUUUAUUAAAAACAUAGCACUCUGCAAACACGAAAGUGGACGUAUAGGGUGUGAUGCCUGCCCGGUGCUGGAAGGUUAAUUGAUGGGGUUAGCGUAAGCGAAGCUCUUGAUCGAAGCCCCAGUAAACGGCGGCCGUAACUAUAACGGUCCUAAGGUAGCGAAAUUCCUUGUCGGGUAAGUUCCGACCUGCACGAAUGGCAUAAUGAUGGCGGCGCUGUCUCCAGCAGAGGCUCAGUGAAAUCGAAAUCGCUGUGAAGAUGCAGUGUACCCGCGGCUAGACGGAAAGACCCCGUGAACCUUUACUGCAGCUUGACACUGAACUUUGACCUUACUUGUGUAGGAUAGGUGGGAGGCUUUGAAGCUGGAACGCUAGUUCCAGUGGAGCCGUCCUUGAAAUACCACCCUGGUAAUGUUGAGGUUCUAACUCUGUCCCGUGAUCCGGGACGAGGACCGUGUCUGGUGGGUAGUUUGACUGGGGCGGUCUCCUCCUAAAGAGUAACGGAGGAGUACGAAGGUGCGCUCAGCGUGGUCGGAAAUCACGCGUAGAGUAUAAAGGCAAAAGCGCGCUUAACUGCGAGACCCACAAGUCGAGCAGGUACGAAAGUAGGUCUUAGUGAUCCGGUGGUUCUGUAUGGAAGGGCCAUCGCUCAACGGAUAAAAGGUACUCUGGGGAUAACAGGCUGAUACCGCCCAAGAGUUCAUAUCGACGGCGGUGUUUGGCACCUCGAUGUCGGCUCAUCUCAUCCUGGGGCUGAAGCAGGUCCCAAGGGUAUGGCUGUUCGCCAUUUAAAGAGGUACGCGAGCUGGGUUUAGAACGUCGUGAGACAGUUCGGUCCCUAUCUACCGUGGGCGCUGGAAAUUUGAGAGGAUCUGCU
rnacentral:rRNA from 1 species